rnacentral:rRNA from 1 species
UACGUAGGUGGCAAGCGUUGUCCGGAUUUACUGGGUGUAAAGGGCGUGCAGCCGGGCUGACAAGUCAGAUGUGAAAUCCCGCGGCUUAACCGCGGAACUGCAUUUGAAACUGUUGGUCUUGAGUAUCGGAGAGGCAGGCGGAAUUCCUAGUGUAGCGGUGAAAUGCGUAGAUAUUAGGAGGAACACCAGUGGCGAAGGCGGCCUGCUGGACGACAACUGACGGUGAGGCGCGAAAGCGUGGGGAGCAAACGGG